GACGAACGCUGGCGGCGUGCCUAAUACAUGCAAGUAGAACGCACAGUUUAUACCGUAGCUUGCUACACCAUAAACUGUGAGUUGCGAACGGGUGAGUAACGCGUAGGUAACCUGCCUGGUAGCGGGGGAUAACUAUUGGAAACGAUAGCUAAUACCGCAUAAUAUUGAUUAUUGCAUGAUAAUUGAUUGAAAGAUGCUAUUGCAUCACUACCAGAUGGACCUGCGUUGUAUUAGCUAGUAGGUGAGGUAACGGCUCACCUAGGCGACGAUACAUAGCCGACCUGAGAGGGUGAUCGGCCACACUGGGACUGAGACACGGCCCAGACUCCUACGGGAGGCAGCAGUAGGGAAUCUUCGGCAAUGGACGAAAGUCUGACCGAGCAACGCCGCGUGAGUGAAGAAGGUUUUCGGAUCGUGAAGCUCUGUUGUAAGAGAAGAACGGGUGUGAGAGUGGAAAGUUCACACUGUGACGGUAUCUUACCAGAAAGGGACGGCUAACUACGUG
rnacentral:rRNA from 1 species